rnacentral:rRNA from 1 species
AUGGAUAAAAAGAUCAAAGUGCGCAUGGAGUCGAAGGAAGGUCUACUUCGCAGGAUCAGUUGUUCUUGCCGCAAAUUGGAAUGCGCAGGCACACCAUGUUCCCACAUAUUUUACACAUUGGGAAUUUUACAAGAAGAAACACUGCCCAGGUAUUGUGUUCCCACUAGGUGGACAAUGAGUGCAAAAUGUGCAUUCGCACCGACCAGAAAGAGAGAGAUGUAUGAAUACUCUGCAACCCUGUAA